rnacentral:lncRNA from 1 species
GGAAAAACAAGAGCAAUUGUCUCUCUGGGAGAUUGUCUCUCUGGGAGGCGUCUUCCUGGUUAUCCAGGUACAAACACCAGGAACAAGAUUUAGAGUGAUGGAGGAUGAAGUCAGUCAGAAAUGCUGAAAAAAAAAAAAAGGUAAACAUUGCCAGGCAUGUUUGGCUAGCGCUGCAGAGAAGGUCCAGUCUCUGAUCUUAUCUUCAGAGGGAGAUGGCACUCUACAGUUAACCCAUGCAGAAACUUCAGAAAGCAGACUGCUGAUGACAGAGUCUGGUUUAUGAGACCAGAUAGUCCAACCUCACAGGUUACUCCACAGCACGAGGAGCUGUGUACAUCUGCUCUGCUUAGAAGUUUCGAGUACAGAGAUAUUUCCAGAUAAGACAGACUUAUCUCUGCAAACAAAGCAGUGAGCAGGGGUUGCAGCAGCACAGAAGGGAUCUGCAGGCAGACAAGAUGUAGUACCUUCUAGAUUCUGAGAGCCCCAUCCAGCUAUCCUACUUCUCCAUGCUUUAAUCCAUUUUGAUGGUGCCCUUAAAGAGAGGCAAAGGAAACAUUUUUCCAUGUGCACUUAACAACAAGCGGUUUGAAGUCAUACAGCAUUAUGCAAGAAGUGAAGAAGUCAUAGAAAUUAAAGGCCACUUCAAGGCUGUCAUCUAUCCCAGCCCUUCGUUCAUGAGUCAGGAAUAAAUACUAAUAGGUUAUAUGUAAAAGAAGAUUGUAAAACUAAAGGAAGAGGGUAGCAUUGAGAGGGACUCCAGACUGCUCAGUAAAACUCAUUCCAUUCUUCCAUCAUACAGUCUAUUCUGCCUCCACUGAAAAUCACCUGAAAUUUCCUUUUGCUGUAAAGCUUUAAACCAAGCUCUGAGCAACUAAGAUGAAUAGCUAAACUAUUGUCAAAUUUGCGCAAUACAUGAUACACAGCAACAUGAGAGGCACCAUGAGCCCACAAAUGUACUCAGAGCAAGAGAACAGCAAGGUGACCUCACUCCAGCAUCACAGAACUCCAGGAAGGGCCAGCUGGCUCUCACCACAAGGCAGAGCUGCACAGAGGGAACCCCCUUCUCCUCACAGAUCCUUCACCAUCUCAACACCUCAGGACCCUUGA